UUUACUGAAAUUUGUAUGGAGUUGGAAAGUUUGCUUACGUUUGCCGCUAGGGGCGCUGUUCCAACUGCAUACUUUGAGGUG
rnacentral:pre_miRNA from 1 species